GGGCUUGUUAUGAUGAUUAACCAAUCACCAUCUUUCGGCUGACGCCUGAUGGACACGCUUUUUUUACCUGACGAGCCUC
rnacentral:snoRNA from 1 species